GGUCACAUGAAAGGUGUCCAGAAAGACAAGCAUUGCACCAGCAUCACGUACAUUGGUCUUCAGUUGUCAUUAACUCUCAGGCUGCAAGGGUUUGUCACCGAUGGGGUCUCUGGCAGGUGACCCCACCCUCAGCACAAACCAGUGAAUCUGGAGCCCAGAGGCUACAAUUCAGUGUAAGAGUGAUUUCAAAAUAAGCCAACACCCUUUCUGCUGGCCUGGAACCUGGAAUUGAGUAGAAGGUAAAGGGUCUCCAUCUUGAGAAGUCACUGCCAGCUAACCUCACGUAGGCGCACCGUGAUCCAAAACUGUGAGACCAGGCAACUCUGGGUCCUGGAGAAUUCCACUGUGCUGUGGGAAGAGGCUGUGACGUCAGAGAGCUCUCCAUGCAGUCCUUACGGCUGCGUGACUCGGUGCAAGUGUCUAAGCCUCUCUGACCCUCAAGCAUCUCCUUCGUAAAAGGGGGAGCCUGCCGUCUGCCCCACAGAUACGUUGUCAGGCAUGAGUGAGGUGAGCUAUUUUUAAAUAUUCCCCACGUAUCUUCAGUACGGGCUCAUUAGCAAGAAGCCUCUGUUUCACUUUGAGAAGAGCUGCUUUAGUGUUGGCAAUGCGCGUCUUUAGCUCACCUCACCUGUCACCCUCACCUGUUACCGUCGUACAUAAAGGAGGAGCGUGAGCAGAGUGCACCUCGACUUCCCACCUUCCAUCUUCUUACUACCGUUAUUAGAUACUUUGUUUCUCUCCAUAUAUAUGUAUAUAUAUAUAAUAAAACCUUUAAUGUGUCAUUAUUA